AGACACAACUCUGGAGAGUCCCUUGAAUGGGCGCCGAAGGUGCAAAGAUGUGAAUAUUUACAUCCUUAUCUCUCAGGCCAGUGGACGGAGUAAAAUAA
rfam:Phascolarctobacterium sp. YIT 12067 genomic scaffold Scfld61, whole genome shotgun sequence.